AAGAAGUAAUCGUUUAUGCUCGCUACAUUUCUCUGGGGCAAAUUAUGUCCAAGGCAAAACCAGCUCUAGGUUGAGAUGGGAUGCAUGUCCUGACACAUUUUUGGGUAAUGGAAAUAUGGAUGUUCUUCCCCCAUCAAUUAAUGACGAAGAUCAGUCAGAAUUUGCCUCUUAUUCUGGUAAAUCAAAGGAAUGCUCCGCA